CCACGCCCCCUCCAUCCUCCGCCCAAAGAGGCUCAGGACCAGCCUUCGGGAAUUCGGCCCGCACUUCCGGUUGGAAAAGAAACCAAUGCCAACAGCAGGCUUCUUUCCAUGAUGUCUCAAUCAAUCAAUCUGUCUUGAUUGAUGGAUGUAUCUGUCUCUCGAUUUCGACGCAUCGGUGCUUGUUGCUGCUGCUCAGUCGUUUAGUCGUCUCCUUGUGUUACCCCAGGAACUAUUAUUAUUAUUACUAGCUGUGCCCGGCCACGCGUUGCUGUGGCAAAGUCUGGUGGUAUGGGAAAUAAAGUAUUGAAUUGGUGGUAGUUGAGGUAAAGGGUCAAGGUUUUCCCCUGGCAUUAAGUCCAGUUGUGUCCGACUGCACACUGAAUUGAAUCAUAUGGCAGUGUGGAGUCAAGAUAAUUCAGUUCAAAGCUGAUAAUAUAAGAUUAUAAAUGGGUUAUAUAGCUGUGUGGAAGGGCCUUGAUUCUACACUGCCAUAUAAUCCAGUUCAAAUCUGAAACUGAUGGUCAGCUGCCUGUCCCUCCCAUCCAAAAAAAAAAAAGUUGCUAUCCUGAGCUGGAAUUACAGCAGAGCCACUACCUAGAAAAGUGAAAUUUGUAAUAAUCUUCAGAAGACUAUACAAGAAGCAACUAAACCUGAAGAAGGGACACCCAUCCUGAAACAAGGACAUAGAAUACCCCGGGAACCCUUGUUGUUUUUUGCUGUUGCUUUCUUUGAAUAUACAUUCUGAAGACUCUUUCUUGCUUGGGACUUUGAUAAUUUGUUUAAAGGGUACAACCCUCAUUUAUAAAGAUCAUCAAUUGAGAUGCUUUUUCUACCAAGCUUCAAGACAACACUGAAUACUGAGUUUUAACCUCAGUUUAUGAACUCCUUUAUUUUGGCAAUAUAUAAACAUGAAUGCUAUGUUUGCUAUAAUGCUGUGAAAUAGUUUAUAUAAUGCUGUAAAAUAGUUUAUAUAUGUGCCUUGGUGAUUAUACGUUUCCUACUUCGUUUCUAUUAUAUACUGUGUGUAACAGGACAACCUUUCUCCCAUCCUUUUUGCCUUGUUUUUAUUUAUGUUGCACUUUGAAAUGGUCAUAUGACUGGUCAAACAAAUAAAUUAUUAUUAUUAUUAUUAUUAUUAUUAUUAUUAUUAAGAAAUAGGGAAUUCAAGAGCUUUUUGUGAAUGACAGUUCAAAUCUGAUAAUCUGUAUUUUAUAGGCCUAAGUGAGGCCUAACUGCCUGUCCCCUGGACUGAGUGGGUUGCUAGGAGACCAAGUGGGCGGAGCUUAGCCUUCUAACUGGCAGCAAUUGGAUAAAAACAAUUAUUCCUCUCCCUCUAAUUAGGACUUUAUUUUCUUUUUGUUGUAUGAACGUAGAGGCAUGGAUGAGGGGUUGUGCUGCUAAGUUUAGUGUUUCUGGGACGUGUAGUUUUGUUGUUUUGUCCUAGGCCGAAAUUUCAUUACCCUUUUAUAUAUAUAGACUAGCUGUGCCCGGCCACGCGUUGCUGUGGCGAAGUCUGGUGGUAUGGGAAAUAAAGUAUUGAGGAAUUGGUGGUAGUUAAGGUCAAGGGUAAAGGUUUUCCCCAGACAUUAAGUCCAGUCGUGUCUGACUCUGGGGGUUGGUGCUCAUCUCCAUUUCUAAGCCGAAGAGCCGGCGUUGUCCGUAGACUCCUCCAAGGUCAUGUGGGAUGACUACAUGGAGCAGCGCUACCUUCCCGCCGGAGCAGUACCUAUUGAUGCACUCACAUUUGCAUGUUUUCGAACUUCUGGGUUGGCAGAAGCUGGGGCUAACAGUGGGGGCUCUCUCCGCUCCCCCAAUUCAAACCUGUGGCCUUUCAGUCCAGAAGUUCAGCAGCUCAGCGCUUUAACACGCUGCGCCAUCAGGGGAUAUUAUUUCCUAAAGGUUGUGAAUAUACAAUAUUUCUGAUUGGUUUUUUUUUGUUUGUUGGAGGCAAGUAUGAAUGCUGCAAUUAGGAAAAAUGAUUAGGAUGUAAUGGCCUUGCAGCUUUAAAGCCUGGCUGUUUCCUCCCUGAGUGAAUUUUUUGUUGGGAGGUGUUAGCUGGCCCUGAUUGUUUCCUGUCUGGAAUUCCCUUGUUUUCAGAGUGGUGUUGUUUGCGAUAUUUUAUGUGCUUCUACUGUCUGUGGCCCUGAGAAAACAGAGGAUUUUCCAGACUUUGAUGAUGGGAAUACUUUGUUGGGAGGUGUUAGCUGGCCCUGAUUGUUUCAUGUCUGGAAUUCCCUUGUUUUCAGAGUGAUGUUGUUUGUGAUAUUUUAUGUGCUUCUACUGGCUGUGGCCCUGAGAAAACAGGAUUUGCCAGACUUUGAUGAUGGGAAUACUUUGUUGGGAGGUGUUAGCUGGCCCUGAUUGUUUCCUGUGUGGAAUUCCCCUGUUUAUUUACUGUCCUGGUUUUAGAGAUUAUAUUGUUCUGCAUUAUUCUAUCCCAGUAAUUAUUUCAUAUUAAAGAAGAAUCUCACUUAUCCAACAUUCGCUUAUACAAUGUUCUGGAUUAUCCAACGCAGUCUGCCUUUUCAUAAUCAAUGUUUUUGUAGUCAGUGUUUUAAACUCAUUGUGAUAUUUUAGUGGUAAAUUUGUAAAUACAGUACAGUAGAGUCUCACUUAUCCAACAUAAACGGGCCGGCAGAACAUUGGAUAAGCGAAUAUGUUGGAUAAUGAGGAAUUAAGGAUAACCCUAUUAAACAUCAAAUUAAGUUAUGAUUUUACAAAUUAAGCACCAAAACAUCAUGUUAGACAACAAAUUUGGCAGAAAAAGUAGUUCAGUACACAGUAAUGCUAUAUAGUAAUUACUGUAUUUAUGAAUUUAGCACCAAAAUAUCACAAUAUAUUGAAAGCAUUGACUACAAAAAUGCGUUGAAUAAUCCAGAACGUUGGAUAAGCGAGUGUUGGAUAAGUGAGACUCUACUGUAAAUACUACAUAGCAUUACUGCGCAUGGAACUACUUUUUCUGUCAAAUGUGUUGCAUAAUAUGAUGUUUUGGUGCUUAAUUUGUAUAACGAUUACCUAAUUUGAUGUUUAAUUGGCUUUUCCUGAAUCCCUUCUUAUUAUCCAACAUAUUCACUUAUCCUGCCGGCCUGUUUAUGUUGGAUAAGUGAGACUCUACUGUAUAUUUCUAAUCUUAUAUUAUCUGCUCAGAACUGUAUUAUAUGAGGCCCCUUCUUCACAGCUGUAUAAAAUGCACACUGAAGUGGAUUAUAUGGCAGUGUGGAGUCAAGAUAAUCCAGUGCAAAGCAGAUAAUAUAAGAUUAUAAAUGGGUUAUAUAGCUGUGUGGAAGGGCCUUGAUUCUACACUGCCAUAUAAUCCAGUUCAAAUCUGAAACUGAUGGUCAGCUGCCUGUCCCUCCCAUCCAAAAAAAAAAAAGUUGCUAUCCUGAGCUGGAAUUACAGCAGAGCCACUACCUAGAAAAGUGAAAGUAAGUUUUUUUGCAAAUAUCCUUAAAUUUUGUUUCAUGCUACUGGGUGCUGGUAACAGCAAAUCUAUUAUAUUGUCUCCUUAUAAUACAGUUUGUAAUAAUCUUCAGAAGACUAUACAAGAAGCAACUAAACCUGAAGAAGGGACACCCAUCCUGAAACAAGGACAUAGAAUACCCCGGGAACCCUUGUUGUUUUUUGCUGUUGCUUUCUUUGAAUAUACAUUCUGAAGACUCUUUCUUGCUUGGGACUUUGAUAAUUUGUUUAAAGGGUACAACCCUCAUUUAUAAAGAUCAUCAAUUGAGAUGCUUUUUCUACCAAGCUUCAAGACAACACUGAAUACUGAGUUUUAACCUCAGUUUAUGAACUCCUUUAUUUUGGCAAUAUAUAAACAUGAAUGCUAUGUUUGCUAUAAUGCUGUGAAAUAGUUUAUAUAAUGCUGUAAAAUAGUUUAUAUAUGUGCCUUGGUGAUUAUACGUUUGCUACUUCGUUUCUAUUAUAUACUGUGUGUAACAGGACAACCUUUCUCCCAUCCUUUUUGCCUUGUUUUUAUUUAUGUUGCACUUUGAAAUGGUCAUAUGACUGGUCAAACAAAUAAAUUAUUAUUAUUAUUA